UUUUAGGCUAGGUUGGGCGGUUAGCUCUCGCUUGUAGCCAUAAACGAGCUAUAUGAUGGAACCGAAUGCCCAAUUGAGGCUUUGAGCUUGGUUGUUAGUCUUAAUCCAACUUAAGAUCUUCUGUCUCAUGGGGUCGGUAUUUUUGAGAACCAGGUCAGGUCCGGAAGGAAGCAGCCUUAAACUUAAGUAUUGGCGUCUAUGAUAAAUAGAAGGGAGGGAAGGUUAAGGUCAAACUAAUAAUUAAGUUCUUUGUCGAUUUUGGGAAGCCUACUA
rnacentral:SRP_RNA from 1 species